AGGAGAGUGGGUGAGUUGUGUUUAGUCUCUUUGCUAAAGAAAUUAGGCAAAGCUAAAAAGAGUUUGGUGGCUAGUACUAUGUCUGGGACCCUAUAUGUACUGUUGAUGAAGUUAGGUGCUGUUCUGAGCAUUAUUUGUGGAUAUAGAGUGGCGUUUUGGUUGAGGUUUGCACGUGGAGAUGUAGACCGCUGUGUAUUGCUAUCAUGCGGUCGUUACUAAAGUUGGUAUAACUAGAGAAGCAAGUGGUCGGCAACAUUUAUCUCUAGCGGGGGUCUAACUCGGUGUUACGGUGUGUUUGACCCUAACUUAAAUUUACGCUGGAAUAUCCCUUUAAUUGGUAAUUGACUCUGUAACUUGAUAGUGCUGGAAAGUCCUGGCAAAUGCAGCUUUCCAUACACACACUCAUGAAUCAGGAUAUAAUCAUGGAAACAAUCAUCACAGGUAGCCAAGGGCAUUCAACUUGGUCCAAAAACUUUUUAGCGAGUCUACUGUCAGGGAAACUACCUCAGAGUCUGGCUGCAGAUACAAAGAAUUAGGACCCUGUCUCCUACAAGUUCUCCUGUGAGAUGUGGGACAGUUAACCAGCCUUAAUCUGAGGAUCCAAGAGGCCUUGCUGUACUGUACGAGGAGAGAGGUUUAGUAAUGUGAGUCAGGAAGAGUUACUGCAGGGCUUUGAACAUAAAAAAGGAGAAUCUUGGAAGGAAGCUCCGGAUACAUUUGCAGGCCUUUGCAUCCAGCAGCAGCAGCAGCAGCACUGUGUAAGCUGAAGAUGGUGCCCAGAGACCCGCAAACGAAAGGUUGUUGCAAUAAUGGAGUCAAGAUGAUAUAAGGGCAUGUUUACUAAUGAGUUUGGAGUGCACAGGGCUAAGAGUGUGUAAUGCAUCAGCAUGUCAUCUGAUAUAAGCCUAUUGAACUUCUUACAGUUUGUUACUUGUGUCGUCUUCAAACAGUCUGAAUCAGCGAGUCAAAAAAGGGUGUGUGUUUGGUGCAAAGCUUUUACCAUUUUCCUAGUUUAAGCACCAAAGUGCCGGCGCAUUGUGAAUAUUUUUGUUUAACAUUGCUGUGUUUCACUUUAAGCAUCUCCAGUGGGAAAUUGAAGUGGAGGUUGUGCUGCUGCUAUUCCCUUUUGGUUUCCUUUGGAGAAUAAAUGUUUUCUGUGAUCAAAGAGAGAUUUAGGCAACACGUAUUUAUCUCCUGAAACAAAACAACACAGAUACAGUUUUACUCAAAGUUAUUCCCCCUCCUCUCUUUCUCUCUCUGGGCAGAGUCAUCUGGCUUUAUCACUAGCAGCGUGGCUUACUGGGGUCUAGAAGCUGCACCCAGCAGCUCAGUGGGACUUUUUAGGGAUUGCUGCUUAAAGGGAUAUUCCGGCACAAAUUUAAAUUAGUGUCAAACACACUGUAACACCGAGUUAGACCCCCUCUAGAGAUGAAUUUUGCCGACCACUUGCUUCUCUAGUUAUACCAACUUUAGUAAUGACCGCAUGAUAGCAAUACACAGCGGUCUACGUCUCCAUGUGCAAACCUCAACCAAAACGCCACUCUAUAUCCACAAAUAAUGCUCAGAACAGCACCUAACUUCAUCAACAGUACAUAUAGGGUCCCAGACAUAGUACUAGCCACCAAACUCUUUUUAGCUUUGCCUGAUUACUUUAGCAAAGAGACUAAACACAACUCACCCACUCUCCUAAAGCUGAGGGCACUCAAAGAAAAAGGUUAGGAACCGCAGAUCUAAACAGGAAAAAGUUGCAAUGGCCUCUUCCAAUGACCACAAACGCCAACUCCAA
rnacentral:lncRNA from 1 species